GCACCUUGGGGUCGCCGGGCCAGCGGAUCCUUGGAGGAAGAACCCACGGAUCUGCUGAAGCCCCGCGUCCCCCGGGUGU
rnacentral:miRNA from 1 species